GAUGAACGCUAGCGGCAGGCUUAACACAUGCAAGUCGAGGGGUAUAGUAGCAAUACUAGAGACCGGCGCACGGGUGCGUAACGCGUAUGCAACCUACCUUUUACAGAGGGAUAGCCCAGAGAAAUUUGGAUUAAUACCUCAUAGUGUUAUUAGAUGGCAUCAUUUGAUAACUAAAGUUCCAACGGUAAAGAUGGCAUGCGUCCUAUUAGCUAGAUGGUAAGGUAACGGCUUACCAUGGCUACGAUAGGUAGGGGUCCUGAGAGGGAGACUCCCCCACACUGGUACUGAGACACGGACCAGACUCCUACGGGAGGCAGCAGUGAGGAAUAUUGGACAAGUGGGCGCAAGCCUGAUCCAGCCAUGCCGCGUGCAGGAUGACGG
rnacentral:rRNA from 1 species